rnacentral:rRNA from 1 species
GCGUAGGAAUCUACCCAGUAGUGGGGGACAACAGUCGGAAACGGCUGCUAAUACCGCAUACGCCCUACCGGGGAAAGGACGGGGACCGUUCGGCCGUCGCGCUAUUUGGAGUGAGCCUCGCGUAAGAAUUAGCUUGUUGGUGAGGUAAGAGCUCACCAAGGCGACGAUCUUUAGCUGGUCUGAGAGGAUGAUCAGCCACACUGGAACUGAGACACGGUUCCAGACUCCUACGGGAGGCAGCAGUGGGGAAUAUUGCACAAUGGGCACAAGCCUGAUGCAGCCAUGCCGCGUGUGUGAAGA